rnacentral:rRNA from 1 species
GAGCUUGCUCCUGAAUUCAGCGGCGGACGGGUGAGUAAUGCCUAGGAAUCUGCCUGGUAGUGGGGGACAACGUUUCGAAAGGAACGCUAAUACCGCAUACGUCCUACGGGAGAAAGCAGGGGACCUUCGGGCCUUGCGCUAUCAGAUGAGCCUAGGUCGGAUUAGCUAGUUGGUGAGGUAAUGGCUCACCAAGGCGACGAUCCGUAACUGGUCUGAGAGGAUGAUCAGUCACACUGGAACUGAGACACGGUCCAGACUCCUACGGGAGGCAGCAGUGGGGAAUAUUGGACAAUGGGCGAAAGCCUGAUCCAGCCAUGCCGCGUGUGUGAAGAAGGUCUUCGGAUUGUAAAGCACUUUAAGUUGGGAGGAAGGGCAUUAACCUAAUACGUUAGUGUUUUGACGUUACCGACAGAAUAAGCACCGGCUAACUCUGUGCCAGCAGCCGCGGUAAUACAGAGGGUGCAAGCGUUAAUCGGAAUUACUGGGCGUAAAGCGCGCGUAGGUGGUUUGUUAAGUUGGAUGUGAAAGCCCCGGGCUCAACCUGGGAACUGCAUUCAAAACUGACAAGCUAGAGUAUGGUAGAGGGUGGUGGAAUUUCCUGUGUAGCGGUGAAAUGCGUAGAUAUAGGAAGGAACACCAGUGGCGAAGGC